CCAGACUCCUACGGGAGGCAGCAGUGGGGAAUAUUGCACAAUGGGGGAAACCCUGAUGCAGCAACGCCGCGUGGGUGAAGGAGCGUUUCGGCGCGUAAAGCCCUGUCAGCGGGGAAGAAGAAAGACGGUACCCGACCAAGAAGCCCCGGCUAACUACGUGCCAGCAGCCGCGGUAAUACGUAGGGGGCAAGCGUUAUCCGGAUUUACUGGGUGUAAAGGGAGCGUAGACGGUUAUGUAAGUCUGGAGUGAAAGCCCGGGGCCCAACCCCGGGACUGCUUUGGAAACUGUGUAACUGGAGUACAGGAGGGGCAGGCGGAAUUCCUGGUGUAGCGGUGAAAUGCGUAGAUAUCAGGAGGAACACCGGCGGCGAAGGCGGCCUGCUGGACUGAAACUGACGUUGAGGCUCGAAAGCGUGGGGAGCAAACAGGAUUAGAUACCCCAGUA
rnacentral:rRNA from 1 species